GACGAACGCUGGCGGCGUGCUUAACACAUGCAAGUCGAACGAUGAAGCCGGAGCUUGCUCUGGUGAAUUAGUGGCGAACGGGUGAGUAACACGUGAGUAACCUGCCCUUGACUCUGGGAUAACUGCGGGAAACUGUAGCUAAUACCGGAUACGACCCUCGGAGGCAUCUCCUGGGGGUGGAAAGAAUUUCGGUCAAGGAUGGACUCGCGGCCUAUCAGCUAGUUGGUGAGGUAAAGGCUCACCAAGGCGACGACGGGUAGCCGGCCUGAGAGGGGGACCGGCCACACUGGGACUGAGACACGGCCCAGACUCCUACGGGAGGCAGCAGUGGGGAAUAUUGCACAAUGGGCGCAAGCCUGAUGCAGCAACGCCGCGUGAGGGAUGACGGCCUUCGGGUUGUAAACCUCUUUUAGCAGGGAAGAAGCGAAAGUGACGGUACCUGCAGAAAAAGCACCGGCUAACUACGUGCCAGCAGUCGCCGUAA
rnacentral:rRNA from 1 species